UUCGUCCUUCUGCUGCCCCCUCUGCAGAGACCGUGAGACAUUCCUUGUCGAAGUGUUCUUUCUGGGGAUCCGAACCCCCAUUAGACUGCCAACAUGGGAGGACAACAAUGCCUUUGCAGAUCUAGGAGAGAGGCACAACACGUGCAAUGCCAGGGAAUGCCUUUACCCAGGAGGCAGGGAGGAGGCAGAGGAAGAGGGGCCCUGGAAGCUGCUCCUGUGCUCCUCCUGUGCUGCCGAGGGCACCCACAGGCGCUGCUCUGGCCUGACAGUGAGGACAACCCACUGGGAGUGUGACAGCUGUGCUGGUCUCGGCACGGCCCCCAGGGAUGAGCUGGAGCUCAAUGGCCCCAGCCUGACCAGACAGUCAGGACUGGAGCCUGCUCAUGGCCUGUCAGAAUCUGAGGCC